GACAGAGGGUGCAAACGUUGCUCGGAAUCACUGGGCGUAAAGCGCGUGUAGGCGGACAAUCAAGUCAGGUGUGAAAUCCCCGGGCUCAACCUGGGAACUGCAUCUGAAACUGGUUGUCUUGAGUAUCGGAGAGGGAAGCGGAAUUCCUGGUGUAGAGGUGAAAUUCGUAGAUAUUAGGAAGAACACCAGUGGCGAAGGCGGCUCACUGGUCCGGUACUGACGCUGAGGUGCGAAAGCGUGGGGAGCAAACAGG
rnacentral:rRNA from 1 species